UACAUAGCUUAAUGAGGGGAACUCAGGGAACUGAAACAUCUAAGUACCUGAAGGAAGAGAAAGAAAUUCGAUUCCGUAAGUAGCGGCGAGCGAACGCGGAUUAGCCCAAACCAAUAAAGUUUUCUUUAUUGGGGUUGCGGACAUAUCAUAACGAAGAGGUAUCGUAAUUGAAGAGGUUUGGAAAGACCCACCACAGAAGGUAAUAGUCCUGUAUGUUAAACGAGAAGACUUUAGAUAUGAUCCAGAGUACCACGGGACACGUGAAACCCUGUGGGAAGCAGGAGGGACCACCCUCCAAGGCUAAAUACUACCUAGUGACCGAUAGCGUAUAGUACCGUGAGGGAAAGGUGAAAAGAACCCCGGGAGGGGAGUGAAAUAGAACCUGAAACCCUGCACUUACAAGCUGUGGAAGCACAUUUCUUGUGUGACCGCGUACUUUUUGUAGAACGGGCCAACGAGUUACGUUAAGUAGCAAGGUUAAGCACUUAAGGUGUGGAGCCGUAGCGAAAGCGAGUUUUAACUGAGCGUUCAGUUACUGGACGUAGCACCGAAACAGGGCGACCGACCCAGGAGCAGGAUGAAGCGAAAGUAAAAUUUCGUGGAGGUCCGAACCCACGAGCGUUGAAAAGCUCGGGGAUGAAUUGUGGGUAGCGGUGAAAUUCCAAUCGAGCCCGGAGAUAGCUGGUUCUCCCCGAAAUAGCUUUAGGGCUAGCCUCAAGGUGAGAGAUACGGA
rnacentral:rRNA from 1 species